rnacentral:rRNA from 1 species
AUGCUCUCUGGCUGCCCUGCCUUGGAAAGCCUUGAGCUGAUGAAAGUUUUUGGCAUUGAUCGCCUUUGCAUCAGCUCCCAAACUCUUAAAAGUUUACGCUUUUUCGCCGGCUGGACCAGUCAAGGUCUCUUUUUGCAUGAGUUAGUCAUUGAGGACGCCCCGUGCCUUGAGAGAUUGCUACGUCUUGAUCCAGUGGGCACAAAGUCCAUAAAGAUAAUUGGUGGGGCACCUAAACUGGCGAUAUUGGGUAUGCUGUCUGAAGAUAUAUCUGAACUCCACCUUGGAAGUUCAGUUUUUCAGAAAAUGAUUGCUGUCAGUUUGACCACCAAAAUGCACACCAUGAGGGUUUUGGCUCUCAGAUCUACUGGCCCUAAUUUGGAUGCAGUGGUUAACUUCCUCAAGUGCUUCCCUUGCUUGGAGAGGUUGUAUGUCAUUUUCAAGUCAUGGGAGGUUAUCAAUAAUGUCCGGAGUUAUGAUCCACUGGACCCAAUUGAAUCCCUUGAGCUCCAUCUCAAAAAUGUGGUGUUGAAGAAUUAUGACGGCACCAAGAGUUCAUCUAUUGACUUUGCCAAGUUCUUUGUUCUGAAUGCAAAAGUGCUAAAGGAAAUGAAAAUCACAUUGCCUUACCACCGCCGGCACAGAUGGUUUGCUAAGCAAUUCAGCCUGCUACGAGUCAGAAGUAGAGCUUCUCAAGAUGCUCAAAUUGAAAUGAGAUGUGGCAGUCACGAGUAUUUCACACACAUCAAGCGUACCCAUGAUUUGUCAACUGACGACCCCUUUGACUUGCCCUCCAUAGGGUGCUCAAAGUGUAAAGAGAAGGGUCUAGGAGAUGCGGUAUACCAAAUUUAA